rnacentral:rRNA from 1 species
GACGAACGCUGGCGGCGUGCUUAACACAUGCAAGUCGAACGGUGACCCCCGGAGCUUGCUUCGGGGUGAGCAGUGGCGAACGGGUGAGUAACACGUGAGUAACCUGCCCCUGACUCUGGAAUAAGCGCUGGAAACGGCGUCUAAUACCGGAUACGACACGCCUCCGCAUGGGGAGCGUGUGGAAAGUUUUUCGGUCUGGGAUGGACUCGCGGCCUAUCAGCUUGUUGGUGAGGUAAUGGCUCACCAAGGCGAUGACGGGUAGCCGGCCUGAGAGGGCAACCGGCCACACUGGGACUGAGACACGGCCCAGACUCCUACGGGAGGCAGCAGUGGGGAAUAUUGCACAAUGGGCGAAAGCCUGAUGCAGCGACGCCGCGUGAGGGAUGACGGCCUUCGGGUUGUAAACCUCUUUCAGCAGGGAAGAAGCGAAAGUGACGGUACCUGCAGAAGAAGCACCGGCUAACUACGUGCCAGCCGCCGCCGUAAUAC